UCUGGUGACGAUAGCAAGAUGGACACACCUGUACCCAUACCGAACACAGAAGUUAAGCAUCUUAACGCCGAUGGUACUUGG
rnacentral:rRNA from 1 species